UGCUGUAGGGCAGGGAUUGCCAACCAGUGGGGCAUGGACCACUGGGGGUCCGCAAGAAAAUUGUGGUGGUCUGCAGAGAAAUGUCACCUCCAAAGCAAUUAAUCCAGCCUGUGUGGGAAAACAAG